GCCUAACGGCUGAACUGGCAACUUGGAGAAGUGGCAAGUCCUAUUUUGAUCAUAUCUUUGAAUAUGAUCUAUAGGAUUGUAUUAAAAUUGAAUAAAGCUUUGUUUAUAUAUUGAUAAUGACAGUAUAUAUAUCGUGUCUUGACUAAUUGCGUGCCAGCAGUCGCGGUAAUACGUAAGAGACUAGUGUUAUUCAUCUUAAUUAGGUUUAAAGGGUACCUAGACGGUCAAUAUAGCUUCUAAAAUGUUAGUACUUGACUAGAGUUUUAUGUAAGAGGGCAGUACUUGAGGAGGAGAGAUGAAAUUCUAUGAUACCAAAGGGACUCGGUAAAGGCGAAGGCAGCCUUCUAUGUAAAAACUGACGUUAAAGGACGAAGGCACAGAGCACAAACAGGAUUAGAUACCCAAGUAGUCUUUGCAGUAAAUGAUGAAUGCCAUAGGUUAGAUUAAGAUUUAGUAUUAUAAUUAUAAAUUAAAUAUUAAACAUUAUCUGGUCUAUAAAUGAAAGUGUAAGCAUUUCACCUCAAGAGUAAUGUGGCAACGCAGGAACUGAAAUCACUAGACCGUUUCUGACACCAGUAGUGAAGUAU
rnacentral:rRNA from 2 species